rnacentral:rRNA from 1 species
GACGAACCGGCCAAACGUUAUUCGGAUUUAUUGGGCUUAAAGGGUGCGUAGGCUGUGCUGUAAGUCGGGUGUGAAAUCCCACGGCUCAACCGUGGAACUGCGCCCGAUACUGCAGUGCUCGAGGGAGACAGAGGUGAGCGGAACUGAUGGUGGAGCGGUGAAAUGCGUUGAUAUCAUCAGGAACACCGGUGGCGAAAGCGGCUCACUGGGUCUCUUCUGACGCUGAGGCACGAAAGCUAGGGUAGCGAACGGG